AGUGGAAAACCUAUCAACUAUCAAAUCACGUGUCUAUCUAAAUGGCAAUGCUAGCCACCGAUUCUUCUUGUCUAUUUAUCUGCAUAAUACAAUUGAAAUGGGUGAGUCACACUAGUACUCAGUGAGUGGGAGCAAUAAACAGUUGUAAAUGUGCAAGGAUAGUUGCUACACAUAUCUUUGAUCAUGCAUGCAUCUCAUACAUCAUAAUACAUAUACAUAUAAGACAAGUCAAUCGUCACUUAUCAAAUAUAGUUUGUCAUAUCAUGGCAGCCAUACUACGCUGCAUAUUUCUGAUUAUUAACAUACUAAGGUGGUAUAAUCAUCCUCACCUUACUGAUUCAGCAUCAUUACCAACAUAACCUCCUAUCAGUUUAAUCUAUCGUAUGAAUCGAUCCAUCAUAUGGCCAUCUACAUACAUGGCUUAGCGUACAUACCUUAAAGGACUCAUCUCGACACUAAAUCAUAGCUCCUCAAGCAUGUAGCACAUCAUAAUCAUAUACCAAUUACAUAUGGCUUUUACGUCAAGCCUUUCCAUUAAUUAUCAUAUCAUGACAUCAUAUAACAUAUUUCACAUUUCAAAAACCUAAGGCAUGCCACUAUGUAGUCAUCAUAUCAUAUCAUAGAGUGGUCUUCCCCUGAACAUAGCAUAGUCACAUACGGAGGCCAAUCAAUAGACAAUAUACAAUAUCAUGUCAUGCCCCAUUGCUACAGCAAACGAUGGAGUCAAGUCACACCUUAUUGCCACAUCAAGCGACAAAGUUUAGUCACGCCCCAUUACCGAGCGAACUGUAACAUCCACCCCUGGGAUGUUAAUCUAAUGAAAAUUAUUUUGCUAAUUAAGGUGAAUUAUGAGUUUUGGAAUGUAAGAAAAUAUAUGUAAAAUUGAAGAUGGUGACAUGAUAAGUAAAAUAAUAUUUUAAUAAUAUAUAAUAAUACAAAUAAUAAAAGGCAAUUUAGAUUAGUUUGUAGUACCCUAUACCUUGAUAUGGUGGCUAACAAUGCUAGUUUUAUGUUAUUUAUAUUUAUUUUAUGUUUUUAUAGGAGUAGGAUCAAAAAUAAUUUCAAUUGGUGAAGAAAGGUGCACAAUGGACUGUUGCUUUAUUUGCAUAUGUUUUUGUUUCUCACGUAUAUCUCCCACUACACAAGUCCAAAUGACAUGAUUUUUGGACCAUUAGAAAGCUAAGAGGCAGGGUUACAACUUUAAUGUUUACCACUUUGCUCAGUUCUAGUGGCAAGGUGGUUAAAAUCAUUGUUGAAGUGAAAAUACUGUGCUAGAGGAAUAGAAUUUGGUAGAACCUUUGAGCUCCGCGACGCUGGAAAUUAAGAGCCACAACCCUCACCAUAAUUUCCAUAAAUAACAAGUUUAUGGGAAUUUUGAAGCUAGGACUUUUAGGGGCUAUUUAAAGGGACCUCUUUCAGAGGAUUUUGGACUUUUUCCUAAUGUCAAAAGAGUAAAAAGAUUACACAAGAAAAGGAAGAAGACAAGUGGCCUUGUUAAGGGCAUUAUCAUAAUUGCAUGAGAAAUUAGAUAAGCUUUAACUAUAAAGAUCUCAUCUUUUCCAGCAGCUUCUACAAUUCUCCAGUAACUUCUUCUUCUUCCUCCUCCCAUCUCACGUUUCUUUCCUCUUCCAUAAAAACUUCUCUCAAGCUUCCAUCACUCUCUCAAACUUUUUUUAAUUUUCAUGCUUUACACAACAUGUUGUAGGGUUUUUCAUACUCUUUUACUCCUUCACCUUAAACAAACCCUUAAAAGUCUUUCUUCAAUACUUUUUCUCACUAACUGAACUUUGUAGAGAGAGAAAGAGAGGUUUCAUGUUAGCUUGAGGACUCUUGGGAAGAAAUUUCAUUACAAUCACUAAGGUGAAUAAUGAAUUAGGACUGGUUUUAAGUUGUUGAUGAUGACUAGUAAUUAAAGUUAUGAGUUGUGUUAUUUAUGGAAAUUGUUUAUCUAUUUCUAGUGUUACUAAAGUAGAGAAACGAAAUAGCCAAUCAAAUGGUAAUUGGAAGAUAGAUAGGAAGGGCUAUUGAAGCUUGAUUUGGGAAAUAGCUUUUGGAGUGAUAUUAAUGUAAAUUGGAUUGGCUAUGAUGUUUUGUGCGUGAUAGGUUCCAACAAGGCCCCUUAGCCCCAUUUGGACCAUUAGGGAGGUUAAAGUUGUUUAAAGGUUCAACAAAUAUCGGUGAGUGAACUUGCAUUUCAAAAUAUUUUGGGAAAAUGUUUACGUGUUUCAAUGAAUCAUUUGGGAAUUUUAUCGGUUUUUGCUUUAAAAUUUCAUGGGAAUAAGCCUUGAUAAAAUGUUUGAUGUUGUGAAAUGUGAAAUGUGUAAAAGGAUGAAUCCAUAUGUUUUUGUGUAAUGUUGAUAUAUAUAUAUAUACUAUGUCAUAAAUGGUACCAUUGUGUGACAAAUGCAACCGUGCAUGUGUGGGGUGAGUGUGCACUUGCCGGUGAUGACGGUGGUGAGGGAGAUAGAUGGUGAUACUGUCCAGCUAUGUGCACAAUGUGGUGGGAUACACAUGAGCUGGGUGAGAUGGGAUGUCUGGCUAUGUGCAUGAUGUGGUGUGAUGCACAUGAGCUGGGUGAGAUGGGAUGUCUGGCUAUGUGCACGAUGUGGUGGGAUGCUCAUGAGCUGGGUGAGAUGGGAUGUCCGGCUAUGUGCACGAUGUGGUGGGAUACACAUGAGCCGGGUGAGAUGCAUAUGAUGAAUCUUGAAAAUUUACCGUUAUUUGCAAAUUGAUUUUAUUGCAACGAAAAACAUUCUAUUUAUACUUCUUUACUUGGAUAAUUGCUGAAAAUUUCCCUUUUUUCCAAUUUCAUGUUAAAUGCGAUUCCUUCAUCAUUAAAUGAUUUUACAACCAAGGGUUUAAUGGAGGGAUUUUAAUAAGAACUUGAACUAAAUGGCAUUGCUUUUAAAUAAGUGCAUCAUGUUUUCUAAACCAUUUCUUGUCAUUGCUUGUUCCCUUCCUAUGUUUACUCACUGAGUUUAUACUCACAUUUUUAAAAUUCAUAUUUUAGGUUUCCUGAGUUACAAGUGAUUGGAUCCUAGGACAAGGUGCUCCUCUCUAUUCAUUGCUCGAUAGGUUUACCAUGACAUUAAAUGUUAGUAACCGUGACCAGAGUCACUCCGCUAACGGUCAAGGCCUAAUUAUGUGUAUAUGAAUACUUGAGGUGAAAUACUAAGAUUCAUUUGUUAAGCUAUAUAUGUAUAUUACGGUAGGUGAUGCCAUUAUAAAUGCAUAAUUGGGUUUAUGAAUUGUUUUCAAAGGGACUAUAUUUGAACAUUAUGAAUCUUGGAUUUUAAAGGGAUAUGAAUUACUGUAUAAGAUUAUACAAAAAGGCUUACUUGGGCUUAGUGGGCUAAAGCCCAUUGGGCCCUUGCGCCGAUCAUGGCCUUGAAUUUGGGUUGUGACAUAGUUGAAGUAGGAGAGCCUUUGUACAAAUAAACCAUUUUCAAGAUUAACUAAAUGUAGUAAAGAGAAAACUUGAAAAUUUACCGGUAAAAGUGGACUAAAGCAUAAAACCAUGGGUUAAUACCCAUUAGAAACUUAUUUAAACCAACAAAUAUGGGUUAGUGGGGGACAUAUGGGACCCCCACCAUAUGAUGAUACUAAAUAGUUUGCAGGAUGGAGGCAUAGAAAUUGACUAAUGCAAAGAGUUUUAGACUUGGGUAAUCCUACCUGCCUUGAAGGUGCAUCGAAUGGCUUUCUUUUCAUUUUUCUGCCACCUAGGCAUCGGCUCUCUUCUUUAAACCCGAGCCUUGAAGAUUUUGGUAAGUGUUAGUGUCACGACCCGAUUUUCGAGCUAUAACCGGCUCAUGGACCCAAUGGGCAUAGCCCACUAAGCCCAAGCAAGCCUACUUACGUAAUCCUGCUCAUCAUCCCAUCAACUACUUUUAAAGUUACAUCUCACAAUUCCAACCUUCAAGUACUUUACUAAUAAGCUAUAGCAAUCAAAACUGCAUUUAUAUUAACCCAAAAUAAUAUUAACCAUUGCCACUCAUGGUCGCUUACCAAUCAAAAUAUACUUAUAUGGUCUAAGAUAUGCACCUGAGUUCUUUACAUCACAUGUACAUAUUUACAAACAAAAUGACUUUGGGCUUCCAACGGAGUGACCAAGGUGAAGGGACGGCUACUGAAUGCCAACGUACCUACCAAGAAGAUGAAACUACGUGGACACCUCAACCUAGGUUCCAACUGCCUCCUGAUAUGAAAACAUGAAGUUGAAAAUAGUGAGUACAAACUCAAUGAGUGAACAUAAGAAGGGAACAAGCAACGACAAGGAAAGUUUAAAGAAAUCAUGAUGCACUUAUUUUCAAAACAAUGCAAUUUAGUCUAGUUUUUAUUAAAAUCCCUCCAUUAAACCCCUGGUUAUUAAAUCAUUUAAUGAUGAAAGAACCAUAUUCAUCAUGAAAUUGGAAAGAGAGGAAAUUUUCAAUAAUCAUCCAAGCAAAGCAGUAUAAAUAGAAUGUUUCUUGCUACAAUAAAAUCAAUUUACAAGUAAAUGGGAAAUUUUCAAGAUUCAUCAUGCCAUGUAAUCACAUAUUAUAAUAAUAAUCUUUCUAUUGCAUAUACAUAUACUUAAGCAUAUAUCAAUUAGUAUACCACCACAUCUCAUCCAGCUCAUGUGCAUCCCCCCACAUCGUGCACAUAGUUGGACACCCCCAUCUCACCCAGCUCAUGUGCAUCCCCCCACAUCAUGCACAUAGCCAGACACCCUAUCUUAACCAGCUCAUGUGCAUCUCCCCACAUCGUGCACAUAGCCGGACACCCUAUCUCACUCAGCUCAUGUGCAUCCCCCCACAUUGUGCAUAGUUAAUGCCAUUGUAUGCAUCCCCCCACAUCGUGCACGCGGGCAAUAUCACCAUCCAUCUCACUCACCACCGUCAUCAUCGGCAAGUGCACACUUACCUUGCACAUGCACGGUUGCAUUUGUCACACAAUGGUACCCUUUAUGACAUAGUAUAUAUAUAUAUAUAUAUAUAUAUAUAUAUAUAUAUAUAUACUANNNNNNNNAUGACAUAGUAUAUAUAUAUAUAUAUAUAUAUAUAUAUAUAUCAACACUAUGCAGAAACAUAUGAAUUCAUCACACAAUCCAUUUCAUAAAAUAAAAACAUUUCAUAAGGGCUUGUUCCUGUGCAAGUUUUGAAGAAAGAACCAAGUAAAACGUUUUAGGGGAUUCAAUCAAACAUAUAUGUGUAUAUCCCAAAACCUUUUAAUGCAAGUUCACUCACCGGUACUUGUUGAACCUUUAAUCGACUCUAACUUCCCUAAUGGUCCAAAUGGGGUUGAGGGGCCUUGUUGGAACCUAUCAUGCACAAAAACAUCACAGCCAAUCCAAUUUAUAUUAAUAUCAUUCCAAAAGCUGUUUCCAAAUGCAAGCUUCAAUAGCCCUUCCUAUCUACCUUUCAAUUACCAUUUGAUUGGCUAUUCCAUUUCUCUACUUUAGUAACACUAGAAAUAGAUAAACAAUUUCAGCAAAUAACACAACUCAUAACUCUAAUUACUAGCCAUCAUCAAUAACUUAAAAUCAAUCCUAAUUCAUCACUCACCUUGGUGGAUGGUAAUAAAACUUCUUCCCAAGAGUCCUCAAGCUAUCGUGAAACCUCUCUUUCUCUUUCUACAAAGUUCAAUUGGUGAGAGAAAGUAUUGAAGAAAGACUUUUAAGGGGUUGUUUAAGGUGAAAGGGUAAAAGAGUAUGAAAAACCCUACAAUAGGGUGUGUAAAGCACGAAAAUUGAGGGUAGUUUGAGAGAGUGAUGGAAGCUUGAGAGAAACUUUCAUGGAAGAGGAGAAAAACGUGAGAUGGGAGGAGGAGGAAGAAGAAAAAGUU
rnacentral:lncRNA from 1 species